UACGGAGGGUGCAAGCGUUAUCCGGAUUUAUUGGGUUUAAAGGGUGCGUAGGCGGUAUAUUAAGUCAGUGGUGAAAUCCUGCAGCUUAACUGUAGAUGUGCCAUUGAAACUGAUGUACUUGAGUUAUCUUGAGGUAGGCGGAAUGUGUAGUGUAGCGGUGAAAUGCUUAGAUAUUACACAGAACACCGAUUGCGAAGGCAGCUUACUAAGGGUAUACUGACGCUGAGGCACGAAAGCGUGGGGAUCGAAC
rnacentral:rRNA from 1 species